CAGUCGCCGCGGGAAUACGAAGGGUGCAAGCGUUACUCGGAAUUACUGGGCGUAAAGCGUGCGUAGGUGGUGGUUUAAGUCCGUUGUGAAAGCCCUGGGCUCAACCUGGGAAUUGCAGUGGAUACUGGGUCACUAGAGUGUGGUAGAGGAUAGUGGAAUUUCCGGUGUAGCAGUGAAAUGCGUAGAGAUCGGAAGGAACAUCUGUGGCGAAGGCGACUAUCUGGGCCAACACUGACACUGAGGCACGAAAGCGUGGGGAGCAAACAGGAUUAGAUACCCCGGUAGCCCUGUCUCUUAUACA
rnacentral:rRNA from 1 species